AUUGAACGCUGGCGGCAGGCUUAACACAUGCAAGUCGAGCGGAGAUGAGGUGCUCGCACCUUAUCUUAGCGGCGGACGGGUGAGUAAUGCUUAGGAAUCUGCCUAUUAGUGGGGGACAACAUUCCGAAAGGAAUGCUAAUACCGCAUACGCCCUACGGGGGAAAGCAGGGGAUCUUCGGACCUUGCGCUAAUAGAUGAGCCUAAGUCGGAUUAGCUAGUUGGUGGGGUAAAGGCCUACCAAGGCGACGAUCUGUAGCGGGUCUGAGAGGAUGAUCCGCCACACUGGGACUGAGACACGGCCCAGACUCCUACGGGAGGCAGCAGUGGGGAAUAUUGGACAAUGGGCGGAAGCCUGAUCCAGCCAUGCCGCGUGUGUGAAGAAGGCCUUUUGGUUGUAAAGCACUUUAAGCGAGGAGGAGGCUACCUGGAUCAAUACUCUGGGAUAGUGGACGUUACUCGCAGAAUAAGCACCGGCUAACUCUGUGCCAGCCGCCGCAGUAACAC
rnacentral:rRNA from 1 species